rnacentral:rRNA from 1 species
AUUGAACGCUGGCGGCAUGCCUUACACAUGCAAGUCGAACGGUAACAGGUCUUCGGAUGCUGACGAGUGGCGAACGGGUGAGUAAUACAUCGGAACGUGCCUAGUAGUGGGGGAUAACUACUCGAAAGAGUGGCUAAUACCGCAUGAGAUCUACGGAUGAAAGCAGGGGAUCGCAAGACCUUGUGCUACUAGAGCGGCCGAUGGCAGAUUAGGGAGUUGGUGGGAUAAAAGCUUACCAAGCCGACGAUCUGUAGCUGGUCUGAGAGGACGACCAGCCAAACUGGGACGGAGACACGGCCCAGACUCCUACGGGAGGCAGCAGUGGGGAAUUUUGGACAAUGGGCGAAAGCCUGAUCCAGCAAUGCCGCGUGCAGGAUGAAGGCCUUCGGGUUGUAAACUGCUUUUGUACGGAACGAAAAGCCCUGGGUUAAUACCCUGGGGUCAUGACGGUACCGUAAGAAUAAGCACCGGCUAACUACGUGCCAGCAGCCGCCGUAA